rnacentral:sRNA from 1 species
GUGAAAUCCGUCCUUGCGGACGGGUGAAAUCCCGCUUCGCGGGGUGAAAUCCUGCUUCGCAGGGUGAAAAGG